rnacentral:rRNA from 1 species
CCUACGGGAGGCAGCAGUGAGGAAUAUUGGUCAAUGGACGAGAGUCUGAACCAGCCAAGUAGCGUGAAGGAUGACUGCCCUAUGGGUUGUAAACUUCUUUUAUAUGGGAAUAAAAUGUUCCACGUGUGGGAUUUUGUAUGUACCAUAUGAAUAAGGAUCGGCUAACUCCGUGCCAGCAGCCGCGGUAAGACGGAGGAUCCGAGCGUUAUCCGGAUUUAUUGGGUUUAAAGGGAGCGUAGGUGGAUUGUUAAGUCAGUUGUGAAAGUUUGCGGCUCAACCGUAAAAUUGCAGUUGAAACUGGCAGUCUUGAGUACAGUAGAGGUGGGCGGAAUUCGGGGUGUAGCGGUGAAAUGAUUAGAUAUCACGAAGAACUCCGAUUGCGAAGGCAGUUCACUGGACUGCAACUGACACUGAGGCUCGAAAGUGUGGGUAUCAAACAGGAUUAGAUACCCGGGUAGUC